UUACGGCCAUAUCACGUUGAAACACUGGUUCCCGUAUGACCACCGAAGUUAAGCAACGUUGAGCCUGGCCAGUACCUUGAUGGGUGACCGCUUGGAAAUACCAGGUGCUGUAAG
rnacentral:rRNA from 1 species